UACGGGGGGAGCAAGCGUUGUUCGGAAUUACUGGGCGUAAAGGGCUCGUAGGUGGCCAACUAAGUCAGACGUGAAAUCCCUCGGCUUAACCGGGGAACUGCAUCCGAUACUGGAUGGCUUGGAGUUCGGGAGAGGGAUGCGGAAUUCCAGGUGUAGCGGAUGAAAUGCGUAGAAUAUCUGGAGGAACACCGGUGGCGAAG
rnacentral:rRNA from 1 species